AGUGCUUCCUUGUAGGAGUUUUCCUGCAAGCCCUUAACUUCUGAAUGGGAAUCUGUCAGAAGUUUUUCUGUCUCUUUAAAGAGAGUCUACUAACACAGAUGCAUCUCAGAGGUAAUUUCUAAAAUCCAGUCUGUGAGAUAGCUCUAUCACACUACGUCCAUAUUACAGAUAGUACCACAGGAAGCCACCAAGAUGUAUUUGAACAGAAACUCCAAAGUAAAAUGGUGAGUCUUGAAGAGUACUGGACUUCACAAGAGUACCAUACCUACCAAUUCAAAACUGAAACCUGCUGCCUUCUGAUGAGGCUGAGAAAAGCAUGAGGUACAAUGCUUCGAUGUGACUUUAGUGAAUUAUGUUAGCAGUACCAGAGACUGCUUCAUGCAGAUGGGAGCUGGGAGCGAGGAAGAAGAAUGACAGCAAGGCCACAUGGAUAUUGAUGGAUGUGCAGCAAAACAAAUCACCAGGAAACGAAGGACAUUUUAUCAGCUAGUUUGGUUUAUUGACCCUAGUGAAUGUGUGUGCAAAUGCCCCCAGGGAAGAAAAGAAGCGGACAAGUGUUAUGGUCUAACCAGACAGAUCUCUAAGCACCACGCAGUCAUUUGCUCACUCCUUUCCCUCCCAGUGGGAUGGGGGAAAGAACUGGGGGGAAAAAAAAUAGAACUCAUAGAUCAAGAUGAAAACUGCUUACUAAGACAGAAAAGGGAAGAGGAAAAAAGGAUAACGGUUAUGAUAAUUUUAUAUAUGCAUAUAUAAACA